UACGUAGGGUGCGAGCGUUAAUCGGAAUUACUGGGCGUAAAGUGUGCGCAGGCGGCUCUGCAAGUCGAGUGUGAAAUCCCCGAGCUUAACUUGGGAAUUGCGCUCGAAACUACGGAGCUGGAGUGUGGCAGAGGAAGGUGGAAUUCCACGUGUAGCGGUGAAAUGCGUAGAUAUCAGGAGGAACACCGAUGGCGAAGGCAGGUCUCUGGGCCACUACUGACGCUGAGAAGCGAAAGCAUGGGGAGCGAACAGG
rnacentral:rRNA from 1 species